GUGCUUGCUUCAGCAGCAUAUAUACUAAAAUUGCAAUGAUACAGAGAAGAUCAGUAUAUCCUCUGCUCAAGGAUGGCACACAAAUACGUGACACAUUCCUUAUUUAU
ensembl:snRNA U6 U6 spliceosomal RNA